rnacentral:rRNA from 1 species
UACGAAGGGAGCUAGCGUUGCUCGGAAUCACUGGGCGUAAAGCGCACGUAGGCGGAUUGUUAUGUCAGGGGUGAAAUCCUGGAGCUCAACUCCAGAACUGCCUUUGAUACUGGCGAUCUCGAGUCCGGGAGAGGUGAGUGGAACUGCGAGUGUAGAGGUGAAAUUCGUAGAUAUUCGCAAGAACACCAGUGGCGAAGGCGGCUCACUGGCCCGGUACUGACGCUGAGGUGCGAAAGCGUGGGGAGCAAACAGG